GUGGGGAGUGGGAGAACGUGGGGCUUGUGUGCUAGGCUAGGGUGAGGGACUGCGGCAUGGAAGGGUUACAGAAUGUUACAGAAUGUGCUAAGGGGAGGAAAUGGGACAUGAGAAAUUGAAUGUGCUGGGAGGGGGGACUGACAUAUGGAGGAUUGUGUCAGGGUUAGGAACCAUGGAAGAAAAAUUGCUAGAUUGU